rnacentral:lncRNA from 1 species
UAGCUCAUAAUGCAUGCUUUUUCACAAUCACUUUGGCUUUUACCCAAUCUUACCGGUUAACACUUGUUAACCCCAAUAACUCACAACCCAAAAUUCCUUAAUAGUGGGGGACUCGAACCACCCUAGGGACCGUCCUUUGGGGGGACUUUACCACGCUCAGUGGUGACCAACUCCGGAGUGCACCGCCCGAGGGGGAGCUACCUCCCUCAAGUCAAGACUUAUCGUAAGUAUCGAUCUAAUCCUCAACUUGAGGAUUCAUAGCCACUUGUCACAAUGCCAUUGUCAUAAUAGGUUUCUACCUAUUUAUUCUUGCCACUUUCUAAGUCAUACAUGUCUCAAUGCCACUCUUGGUUAAACUAUGUUUAACAACUAUAUUCUCUAUGCCAAUCAAUGUCUGUAUUGUCAAUGUCACCUUCAUUUACUAAUGUCCAAGUCCAACUCUCACAUUCACACAAUAAUAGGGUCCUAACAUACAUGUCCAUUAUAGUUCUACCAUUCUCUAUGUUCAAUUACGUUAGAAACAUGUCAUUGAAAGCAACCAAGGUUCAUAUGUACUUAGCCCUACCAUGCAUGAAUGAUACAAAAUAUAUAUGCUCAAAUGCGAUAAGUGUUUCCGAUACACUAAUCAUAUGCCACUCGAUCUAUUUGACAUCCUAAUUGUCCACAUCGAGUAUCAUAGUUCAUAUGUCCUUGUUCUCUAAUGUCGGGUUCUCUAAUUUACCUAGAGUUUAUCGACCCCAAGUUUAACAUGUAAAUGUCAAUUAAUAUAAUCCUCUACAUGUCAACAUGCAUUGUUCAUCAAUCACAUGCAAUAUGUCAUCAUGCACAUAUACCACUAGCAUCAUAUGAUAUGUCAAUAUACAUAUAAUCAUUAUCCAAAGUAGUUCAUACUUAGCA